CAUUAACAUAUAUUAAAGCUGUUGCGGUUAAAAAGCUCGUAGUUGGAUUUCUGUUGUUUUUUGAUCGGUCCGGGCUUCGCCUGUGUAUCUGGUUGAAAGCAGCAUCCUCUCUGAGGUUGUUCGGUGAUUGAGUUCAUCGUUCAGUCUAGGAGACUUUUACUUUUGAGGAAAUUAGAGUGUUCACGACAGGCGUCUGCCUAUUGAAUACAUUAGCAUGGAAUAAUACUAUAGGACCUUGGUACUAUUUUGUUUGGUUUCUAGAGCUAAGGUAAUGAUUAAUAGGGAUAAUUGGGGGUAGUUCGUAUUGACGCGUCAGAGGUGGAAUUCUUGGAUUGCGUCACGACGAACUACUGCGAAAGCAUUUACCAAGGAUGUUUUCUAUUGAUCAAGAACGAAAGUUAAGGGGAGUCGAAGAUGAUCAGAUACCA
rnacentral:rRNA from 1 species